GAUGAACGCUAGCGGCAGGCUUAAUACAUGCAAGUCGUGGGGCAGCAUGAGUGUAGCAAUACAUUUGAUGGCGACCGGCAAACGGGUGCGGAACACGUACACAACCUUCCUAUAAGUGGGGAAUAGCCCAGAGAAAUUUGGAUUAAUACCCCGUAACAUAACGAUGUGGCAUCACAUUGUUAUUAUAGCUUCGGCGCUUAUUGAUGGGUGUGCGGCUGAUUAGAUAGUUGGCGGGGUAACGGCCCACCAAGUCUACGAUCAGUAGCUGAUGUGAGGGCAUGAUCAGCCAAACGGGCACUGAGACACGGGCCCGACUCCUACGGGAGGCAGCAGUAAGGAAUAUUGGUCAAUGGACGCAAGUCUGAACCAGCCAUGCCGCGUGAAGGAUUAAGGUCCUCUGGAUUGUAAACUUCUUUUAUCUGGGACGAAAAAAGGCUUUUCUAAGUCACUUGACGGUACCAGAUGAAUAAGCACCGGCUAACUCCGUGCCAGCCGCCGCGGUAAAAC
rnacentral:rRNA from 1 species